UAACGACCGCUGAUAACAAAGAGAAACAUCUUGACUGACUAGAUAGUAAGAUUAUCUGUAAUUAGUAUUCUGUCUUAUUCGCAUUUCGCAUUGAUUUUUUCAUUUUUGGACGUUACAAUUAUAAUUUUUUUCAACGUAAUGUAAUAACUAAUAAUCAACAACAAGAGCAUAAUUGAAUAUAUAUUUUUUAUGAUAUAAUGGUUUACAGAUCUGUCCUAACACUCCCACACCCCAAAUCAAUUUGAAAUUGGAUAUUAUCUUUCAAUGGUGAACCCGGAUUACUAUACAAUUUGUUUAACUUUUGAUGCAAUGUCAUCUGUAUUGUUUUCUUGGAAAUGAUUUGCAACUUGAAGUACUUUAAUCAGACAGAAGCAACUGAGGCGUUAAUGUUCAAUGUCCAUGCUAAUUAAUUUAAAAUGUUUAAAUAGCAAAUGGAAACUUCCAAUUGGUUAUUUUUGCCAAAAUUUUAGUCUUGGCUCAAUGGAAAGAAACAUAGCGAUAUGACAAGAAGUUGCUCCCUAGUCCCCUACGCAUGCCGCAGUGGUCUUACAACUCAAGAUUGGGACUAGGUCCUUUUUCCUACGGGGAAUUAAAAUAGUCCACAAAACAAGUAACCCAAAGACUGACCUUACUUAUGAUUAGAAUAGUAUAAUCGCUCUAGCAUAGAUUUGUUAAAUUUUUUUUUUUGUGUGUCUAUUAAGAAAUAAAUUAGGGUUUACUAUCCAAGACGUUGAGGCCUGUUUUGCUAGGCGGAAAUCUAUCCCUGUGUGGGCGUAAACUGUACCUAUAAAUAUUACAAUAUUACAUACGUACAACGCUUAUUAAUUGUUAUAAAAUGUCAAUAUGAUUGUUGUCA
rnacentral:lncRNA from 1 species